rnacentral:rRNA from 1 species
AGUGAACGCUGGCGGUAGGCCUAACACAUGCAAGUCGAACGGCAGCACAGUAAGAGCUUGCUCUUACGGGUGGCGAGUGGCGGAAGGGUGAGGAAUACAUCGGAAUCUACUUUUUCGGGGGGGAUAACGUAGGGAAACUUACGCUAAUACCGCAUACGACCUACGGGUGAAAGCAGGGGAUCUUCGGACCUUGCGCGAUUGAAUGAGCCGAUGUCGGAUUAGCUAGUGGGCGGGGUAAAGGCCCACCAAGGCGACGAUCCGUAGCUGGUCUGAGAGGAUGAUCAGCCACACUGGAACUGAGACACGGUCCAGACUCCUACGGGAGGCAGCAGUGGGGAAUAUUGGACAAUGGGCGCAAGCCUGAUCCAGCCAUACCGCGUGGGUGAAGAAGGCCUUCGGGUUGUAAAGCCCUUUUGUUGGGAAAGAAAAGCAGCAGGUUAAUACCCCGCUGUUCUGACGGUACCCAAAGAAUAAGCACCGGCUAACUUCGUG